UAACCAUCAAGCUAUGCUUAGUAUUAGUCCUCAUCGGGAACAAUGUGCCUUAUAGAGAGUGGCGGCACUGCUUAGCUCUAAGCGUAGUGAACUUCUCGCUAUAGAUACUUGGGAGCUGCCUGCUAUAAACCCAAAAUUUCUUA
rnacentral:misc_RNA from 1 species